UGGGGAAUUUUGGACAAUGGGGGAAACCCUGAUCCAGCCAUCCCGCGUGUGCGAUGAAGGCCUUCGGGUUGUAAAGCACUUUUGGCAGGAAAGAAACGUCGCGGGUUAAUACCCCGCGAAACUGACGGUACCUGCAGAAUAAGCACCGGCUAACUACGUGCCAGCAGCCGCGGUAAUACGUAGGGUGCAAGCGUUAAUCGGAAUUACUGGGCGUAAAGCGUGCGCAGGCGGUUCGGAAAGAAAGAUGUGAAAUCCCAGAGCUUAACUUUGGAACUGCAUUUUUAACUACCGGGCUAGAGUGUGUCAGAGGGAGGUGGAAUUCCGCGUGUAGCAGUGAAAUGCGUAGAUAUGCGGAGGAACACCGAUGGCGAAGGCAGCCUCCUGGGAUAACACUGACGCUCAUGCACGAAAGCGUGGGGAGCAAACAGGAUUAGAUACCCUGGUAGUCCACGCCCUAAACGAUGUCAACUAGCUGUUGGGGCCUUCGGGCCUUGGUAGCGCAGCUAACGCGUGAAGUUGACCGCCUGGGGAGUACGGUCGCAAGAUUAAAACUAAG
rnacentral:rRNA from 1 species